rnacentral:rRNA from 1 species
GAAUAUUGCACAAUGGGCGAAAGCCUGAUGCAGCCAUACCGCGUGUAUGAAGAAGGCCUUAGGGUUGUAAAGUACUUUCAGCGAGGAGGAAAGGUGGUGACUUAAUACGUUAUCACUGUGACGUUACUCGCAGAAGAAGCACCGGCUAACUCCGUGCCAGCCGCCGCGGUAAUACGGAGGGUGCAAGCGUUAAUCGGAAUUACUGGGCGUAAAGCGCAUGCAGGCGGUUUGUUAAGCGAGAUGUGAAAGCCCCGGGCUCAACCUGGGAACUGCAUUUCGAACUGGCAAACUAGAGUUCUUGAGAGGGUGGUAGAAUUUCAGGUGUAGCGGUGAAAUGCGUAGAGAUCUGAAGGAAUACCAGUGGCGAAGGCGGCCACCUGGCAAGUAACUGACGCUCAGAUGCGAAAGCGUGGGUAGCAAACGGGAUUAGAUACCCCGGUAGUCCACGCCGUAAACGAUGUCUACUCGGAGUUUGGUUCCUUGCGAACUGGGCUCUUAAGCUAACGCAUUAAGUAGACCGCCUGGGGAGUACGGCCGCAAGGUUAAAACUCAAAUGAAUUGACG